rnacentral:rRNA from 1 species
UGGGGAAUAUUGCACAAUGGGCGAAAGCCUGAUGCAGCAACGCCGCGUGAGUGAUGAAGGCCUUCGGGUUGUAAAGCUCUGUCUUUUGGGACGAUAAUGACGGUACCAAAGGAGGAAGCCACGGCUAACUACGUGCCAGCAGCCGCGGUAAUACGUAGGUGGCAAGCGUUGUCCGGAUUUACUGGGCGUAAAGGAUGCGUAGGCGGAUUUUUAAAGUGAGAUGUGAAAAACCCUAAGCUUAACUUGGGGACUGCAUUUCAUACUGGGAAAAUCUAGAGUGCGGGAGAGGAGAAUGGAAUUCCUAGUGUAGCGGUGAAAAUGCGUAGAGAUUAGGAAGAAACACCAGUGGCGAAGGCGAUUCUCUGGACCGUAAACUGACGCUGAGGCAUGAAAAGCGUGGGUAGCAAAACAGGAUUAGAUACCCUGGUAGUCCACGCCGUAAAACGAUGAGUACUAGGUGUAGGAGGUAUCGACCCCUUCUGUGCCGCAGUUAAACAC